GACGAACGCUGGCGGCGUGCUUAACACAUGCAAGUCGAACGGUGAAGCGCCUUCCUUUUUGGUGGGUGUGGAUGAGUGGCGAACGGGUGAGUAACACGUGAGUAACCUGCCCCCUUCUUCUGGAUAACCGCAUGAAAGUGUGGCUAAUACGGGAUAUUCUGGGUCUGUCGCAUGAUGGGUCUGGGAAAGAUAUUGUUUCGGUGGGGGAUGGGCUCGCGGCCUAUCAGCUUGUUGGUGGGGUGAUGGCCUACCAAGGCGGUGACGGGUAGCCGGCCUGAGAGGGUGGACGGCCACACUGGGACUGAGACACGGCCCAGACUCCUACGGGAGGCAGCAGUGGGGAAUAGUGCACAAUGGGCGCAAGCCUGAUGCAGCGACGCCGCGUGAGGGAUGGAGGCCUUCGGGUUGUGAACCUCUUUCGCCAGUGAAGCAGGCCUGCCUCGUUUGUGGGUGGGUUGACGGUAGCUGGAUAAGAAGCGCCGGCUAACUACGUG
rnacentral:rRNA from 1 species